rfam:Christensenella minuta strain DSM 22607 genomic scaffold Scaffold142, whole genome shotgun sequence.
AUCAUGAUACUUGCGCGUAGUCGAGAUCAAGUUCCAGAGCGUGCCCCUGCCGUUGGCAGGGUGGUGAGAUUCCAAUGU